rnacentral:lncRNA from 1 species
CACGUUCAGUUCCAGUCAUGUCAAAUUGUCGAAGAAGCAAUACCUGGAAUUGGAAAUAGAGCUACACCUCUAACUUUUAUUAUUUGAGAUUUGAGUGGUGGGAGCACAAAUACACCAGUGGAUGAUAUGCAAUCCGCCUAGUCCUUGAAUGCACUCUGAUGUUUGAGACACACACAUCCUGUAAAAUAGUACCAUACUUAUGCCAUUUUUAUGUAAUCUUGUAUAGGAUACUUCAAGUUAAGUGACAUUAAAUACCAGUACCAUAUAAUUUGUCCUAUCAAAAGGCUGUGAUAUCAUAUACAAGCACCUUUUCCUUUCAGGUCUGUUAAUCUAGGAAGCAUAUGUAUCCUUCUAUUCUAUAUCAGUGUUAGAUCUUCAGUCUUGUUAAUCUCAUCUUGUGUUCUAGAUCUCUGUUCUAGUGGUAUGGUAGAGCUAGCCUGAAUACAUGUUGUUUCACUGCUUGGCAGGAUCAUUGAGAGGACAAGAUAAUAAGUCAUAACUAGAUGAAUGAGAAAACAAUUUUGUAUUGUUUUAUCAUUGGUUAUUGUGCGUGCAAUUUUACUAGUUUCUUUGGUCUGAAAGCCUUACCAUCAUUUUCGUCUUGCAGACGGCAAUGGCAAGAGCAUAUUGUGAAGAGGAAGAGGAUGAGAAGAAACGUGUGGUUCUCAUCCAAUCUUUGUGGAACUCUCUUUAUGUGUGAUUGUGCAUUUGUUGGAACCUUUCUCUAUGCACUUGCACUUGCAGCAGUAUUCUGUUGUGCACAUGUAAAAUUAUUUUGAUGUGCCCUUGUUAGGCGUUGAACCUUAAUGCGUGGAGUCGGUGGAUGAUGUAUUGUAUUUGAUGUAAUAUGCUACUGAAAUGAAAUAUAUAUUUUAUUUGCAAUAUUUUAUUCUGUUGUAUUUAUUUUUAAUGAGCC